GAGCUCCUAGAAGUGAAAUAGUUUAAAUUUAACACAUUUCACACACGCCGAUCACUGAAAUUUUUUUGUAGGCUCCGAGAAAAGCCUUCUAUGCCAUCCAAACGAAAUAACAUUACAUGGUUCAGUUGCUGUUAGCGGUAACGUCCCCCGCCGACCCGCGCAGCCUCGUAUCACAAACGAAUUUGCCACGCCAUAGUUAGCAAUUUGUCCGCUCAAUUAUUGGUUCUAGGUAUCCUGUGAAAGGGCACUGUCCUGCGCAGUAGAUAUUUUUUAGGAAUGCUAGGGGAUAGGGGACUGGGGACAUUGAUGCGUGGGUGGAUACGGCGGCGCGCAACCCGGCCCGCGCAGCAGUCGCGAUGCGAUCCCUCUAAUGUUGAAUACAUGCCUUUAUGCGUUUCGUAAAUUCAUUUUGUGUAUGCAUCUCAAAUAUUACUAAUUUAAAUUAAAUUAAAGACACAUUCAUAACUAGUGAACUAAUCUGAACAAUACAAUUGAGUGCGUUUGUGUUGUGAAUAACAAUGACGUGGUAAAGUGUUGUUUGUUGUUGUUGUCUGUAAUUGCCGGGUCGUUUCCGCCUAGAUUGUAUAAAAUGGCGGCGUCAAAAAUAAAUAACAAUGAAUACUUGACGGACAGUGAUCUCGACGAUGAAAUGAUCAAAGCAAUAAGGAAUGAAUACUAUACGAAACUUCCGAAAACUUACACAUCGGAAUAUUAUAGAGGAAAGAAAAUAUUUCUCUAUAAUAUGGCCAGUCAGGAUUAUGUGGAUAUUGUGAUGAGACGUAUAAAAAAAGUUGGCCCUGAAUUUGAACGCCAUCAGCGAGACAAGAUGGCACUGAAAAUCGAUUUGCAAAAUUACAAAAUAACCAUUUUAGAUGGAAAAGAACGCCUGAUAAAGAAUAUUGGUGGACGAGAUAAAAUAAUAGUACCUUGGGAAGACUCAUUCGAAAUAGUUUGGAAAGUGCAUAAAGAGAAUGGACACCCAGAGGCAACGGAGCUUAUAGAUAUUAUGCAAAAUAAUUAUCUCAUAAACAGGAAUACAAUAGAAUGUUUGAGUGAAGUGUGCCCUGUUUGUCAGGGAGAAAACCAACCAAAUGUCAAAUACACUCUUGAUAUUAUACCGAUGGCAUUAGAUCCAGAAUUUGAUUUCAGCUUCAUUUUAGCUUACGAAGACUUGUUUACAAAGUUCCUUCAUUUGAGACCUAUGAAUAAGGACUUUACGUUACCGAAGCUGACGCGGGAACUGAUGAGAGUCUUCAUGGAUUUCGGCCCCCCCAGGAAAAUACUUGUUAGCAAUCCAAUACUCGUGGAAGCAAUUUCCAAUGUAAAAGAAUUUCGAAAAUACUUUGAGUUCGAUGUAAUCAUAAAGAAAGUUCAAAGCAACACCGAAAGAAUUAAUGAAGUAAGAUACGCGAUAGGUAAAUGGUUGGAAGAAAAUGGCACCAAAAAAUGGGGAAUUAACCUUCAUAAUAUAGAAUGGGAGUUGAAUAAUAGAAUCAGCGGAAAUGACAACAAGUCCGCAAAUACAAGAGUAUUUGGAAGUCAUAGUGAACGUAUGCCUGGCAUCAAUUUGCAAGGACAGGAAAUUGAAAAUUUAACACUACCAACCUUUUAUGGUAGAAAUGAUCCAGUUCUACCCAUUGACUUUACAGUCACUCAAGAUUCAAAUGAAAAUAUGUCUACAAUUUCCAAUAUAGAUGUGGAUGUUGGCGUUUCUGCGAGUCCCAUGUUGGAAGUUAACAAGGAUCCGCUUGCAUUUGAUGAAAACAUGUUCGAAAAUGUAUUAGAUGAGAAUCCGGUGAAAUAUGAAGUUUGUGAAUUUGUAGCGGAAGAACCUCAGCAGGUGUUUGAUUUACAAAUUCUGUCAUCAACACCAAUGGAGGGGUUAGACGCUGAAAAUGUGGCAGCACUAUCAAAUCAGCAUUUGAUAGCAUACACUAUAAGUAAUCAAAUGGAAUCGGAGAACGAACCAACAGUAAUAUUAUUUUGCAAAUCUGGACCAAUCUCGGAGAGUUCUCCAGAAGGUUUUGCUCAUUUUUGAUUAACCAACAAUGAUGAGUGUGUAGCAUUCAAUGAAGAACUGGCGUGUACUUCGGAAAAUGAUCUCUCGAAACCGUUCAUGGUAUGUGAUGGAAGCGUUUCAAAGGAAGAGAUUGAUGCGGGAUGUGAUGGUUAUUUUCACCUGGAAUGGACAGAUAAUCCAGGCGAUGAACACGUCGCAGUGACACGUGAGAAACGCAAACUGACCAUCCCAUCCUCAUUGGGCUACGGAGAGCGCGGGGCCGGCAACGUGAUCCCACCCCACGCCACUCUGCACUUUGAUGUAGAACUCAUCAACAUCGGUGACUCGCCCCCAACCACCAACGUCUU
rnacentral:misc_RNA from 1 species